CUUAGCUCAGUUGGAUAGAGCAACGACCUUCUAAGUCGUGGGCCGCAGGUUCGAAUCCUGCAGGG
rnacentral:tRNA from 4 species